AUUGAACGCUGGCGGCAGGCCUAACACAUGCAAGUCGAGCGGAUGAGGAAAGCUUGCUUUUCGAUUCAGCGGCGGACGGGUGAGUAAUGCCUAGGAAUCUGCCUGUUAGUGGGGGAUAACUCGGGGAAACUCGGGCUAAUACCGCAUACGGCCUACGGGAGAAAGUGGGGGAUCUUCGGACCUCACGCUAACAGAUGAGCCUAGGUCGGAUUAGCUAGUAGGUGGGGUAAUGGCUCACCUAGGCGACGAUCCGUAACUGGUCUGAGAGGAUGAUCAGUCACACUGGAACUGAGACACGGUCCAGACUCCUACGGGAGGCAGCAGUGGGGAAUAUUGGACAAUGGGCGAAAGCCUGAUCCAGCCAUGCCGCGUGUGUGAAGAAGGUCUUCGGAUUGUAAAGCACUUUAAGUUGGGAGGAAGGGUAUUCACCUAAUACGUGGGUACUUUGACGUUACCAACAGAAUAAGCACCGGCUAACUCUGUGCCAGCCGCCGCCGUAAUAC
rnacentral:rRNA from 1 species